rnacentral:rRNA from 1 species
CGCGUAGGCGGCCUUUUAAGUCAGAUGUGAAAGCCCGGGGCUUAACCCCGGAAGUGCAUUUGAAACUAUUGGGCUUGAGUAUGGGAGAGGGAAGUGGAAUUCCUGGUGUAGAGGUGAAAUUCGUAGAUAUCAGGAGGAACACCGGUGGCGAAGGCGACUUCCUGGACCAAUACUGACGCUGAGGCGCGAAGGCGUGGGGAGCAAACAGGAUUAGAUACCCUGGUAGUCC